GACUGGUAGCUCCCCGUAGUACCGGUGCGAUGGUCCGGGCCUGGCUUGGCGGGCGGCCGUCGCGAUGGCAGCAGCUAGUUCGGCGAUGUCGCUCUUCGGUGCGACAGGUACGGCAAUCGGUG